ensembl:lncRNA
ACAGCAGCAGCCCUGGUCUGUUGUUGCCCCAGCCAGCCUGGGCACUGCUGGCAUCCCAGCAGUUAGCAGAGUGCUGCUCCUGAGAUAGAGCAGCCUGGAGGUGCUCUGUGACGGGGGGCAGGCUUCCCUGGUGUCCAGGUCACAGCUGUAUUUGUACAGCUCCAAAAACAAACACAGAGAAGUGCUCUGGGGCACAGGGCUUUAGCACUCAGCCAGUGAGGAUAUUAAAAAGGAGGGGAGAUAAGCCACCAAGAGCUUCAUUUCCUCUUCAGCCUCUUUCUAAUUUAUUCUCUUGUUUAUUUAAAUGCUCUGCUUUGGGAAACUGAGGCUCGGCUUCACAAAGGAUUUAAAGGAAUUUCAUGGGCAGUCAAAGCUGUCAGACAAGAUCAAGCUGGCUACAAACCCUCCAGAGUGACAGAGAAUUUAGGUAACUUCACAAAAAGUCUCCUUGUAUUCAAAGUCUGCUACUCCAAUCCUUUCUGAACUCCCAGCCAAAAGGCCAGGCCGCUGUCUGGGAACCAUCAAAGUCACUCGCCUUGCAAAAAUGCAUGAGGUGGCUCAGGUGAGGAAAAAGACACUCCAUUUGAUCGUGAUUUGCUUGUGCUGCCCAGACGUGAAUAUUAAGGGCAGUGGGCCUGACCUGUGGGGCCAUCUCUGACCUUCCUCACUGCCUGGGGAGAGGAUAGCCGACUGAUGAGUCUGUGCCUGGGCAGGGAGGUGAUGGUGAAAUAUGCCUGUUACGUGCACAGCACGUGUCUCUUGGCUCCCUCCUGCCGCCCUUUUCCCAUUCAUCACUGUUACCCAAAUGGGAAGGCACGCGUGGGCGCACCAUGGUAACACAGCCCCACAUUCUGAUGAUAUAGGCAGCAUCCCCAGGCUUGGUGUGCGAUGUGGGGUGACUGCCUUUCUGGAGCCUCCAACAGGUACUGCUCUUGGGGUCCAGCUAUGCAGAAUUACUUUUUAAAGGGGUCCAAGCACCUUGUGCCUUCUGGAAAAACCCCAAUAUGUACCGUUUGGUGUCCCUCUGCACUUAGCCUGCCCUCUCCUUUCCUUCUGCCUACGGGGCUCUCUGUUCUGGCUCUCACCCAGGUAUUAACUCGCAGUGAAACCUUUUUGUCAUUAGCUCCUGGAAGCCACCAUGGCAGGCAGAUUCACAGUCUGUCAGUGUGUCUGUGUGGGCUCCAGGCAGCUUUGUAUUCUCCUGUUCAUUGCACAGCGUAGCCAGCAAUGGGAAAAGAGUGAGUUUGGAGUAGAACAAGCUGCUGAAAAAACCACUUCUUUGCAAUGAAGUCCAUCUCUGAACAUAGGAAUUUCCACCACAGCUGUUCUAGUGAAGUAAAAUGGGAGCUCCCAGCAAAGAUUUGGAUUUGUGCAUUAAUUUGCUGUUCACUCACUGUUUGAGAACUGGCUCUUGAGCCAGCUCCAGGCCUAAGUAGAACAAACUGCCCCUCAGACAAGUUCUUUCCAAACUUUGGAGCCCCAACAGCCAGCCAGUUGUUGCCAGGCACAGGAAUAACCUGACCUUGAGACCGUGUUCCACUCCCACCCCAACUCAGAGGUAUCAGAGGUGGUGUGGCUCUGCAGGAUUACUUACUUCACAGUUUUCAUAUGAAGAGCAGACAUAAGUAUAUCCUCUAAUAUAAAGCUUUUUGAAACAUCAGAACCUUACUGUCAGUCACUAUUAUUUAGAUGUUGUACAUGAAUUACAUCAGAAUUUCAGUGCUAAGAAAAGAACUCUUAAAAAUCAACUGCCAUGAUUUGCUGUCAGGAGGGAUUUUCUAAUUCAAAUGAGCCAUAAUUUGUUAUAGACAGCAGAACUGAGACCUUUACUGAGAUACUUAGACAGACCUAGGUGCCUUUCUUACCUCGCUCAGUCUACAGCAUUCAUUCAUGUAUUCAUCCAGACUGUCACUUGUGGGAUACUUCUUCAGCUGAUGUUCGUGGAACUGAAGGUCUUGCGUGCUGCCAAAGGUCUCUGUGUAAUUGUCAGCAAUUGUCUUUGGCUCCUCUAUGGGAACUGGGGUGGGAACAGUGCUCUCCGUGGGGGGGUUCGUCUCUGGGGAUGGUUCUUUUUCCAGAGGUUGCCUUUCACUCUGGUCAAAACGUUCAUCAGGACUUUCUCCUUCCUGAGGAACACUGAAGUCUUCAAGGGAAGGUGUGGGAACCUGCACAACGUCUGACUCCUGGCUAUAGAGCUCAGCUUGCUUUUCACUCUCCGCACCUUGGUGGCCCACCUUCCUGGCACGCUCUUUACAUGCUCUCAUUAUCAGGUGGUCAAUUUCUGGAGAAGAUGAGGUGCUAAGCACACCUGAGUCACAAAACGAGUCUCUGCUGUGAAGCACAAAGCUCUUCUCUGAACCCGUUGGCGUUGAGGGAGAGUUGGCCCCGCUUGGCAGUUCAACUCCUGAGUCCUCAGAUUCAAAUUUGGAGAACCUGUGAAGGCGGCACUUGGACUCAAAGCUGCUGAGGUCAGGCAGUGUGGCUACAUAAUCUGCGCCUGCUGGGGCUUCUGCAUAGUCUGUGUCUGCUGUUGUGGUUGUGGCAUUUGGAUUUCCCUGGCAGUCCCGUGGGAGGUUCGUGCUGGGGAGAUGGGGCUCCUCAGUACAGGCUGCAUCAGCAGGAGCCUCUGGUACUAGCCCUGGGUUCUGAAUUCCUUCAUUGCUCAAUAUCUUCAUAUGCGUUAGCACUACUUUGUCCUCGGCAGGUGGACUCUUCUUACCUGCAUAAAGGAAAACAAGCAGAAGGUCACAAGAGACUGCAAACUCAGUCUAAUCUAUAGCCCAUUGCCUGAGGAAUGUGAAUGGAAAGCUGUCUGCAGUAAUAUUGUAGAAGGGGGCAGCCCUGGUCUGGUUUGUUUUUCUUGAGCUAUAUACGGCCUUCUUGUAGACUUCGCUACAACAGAAGUAUUGUGUUUCAUAGACCUGAAGUCCUUCAGGGGGGUCAUAAAUGCACACGGAGUUCAGAUUUAGUAGGUAGGUAGAAAACAUUGCAUGUAGUCAGAUGAAUUUUUUUGUCAUUAAGGGCAAACAGACGCAGGGAAGCACAAGAUAGACAUUAAUUUCCUGAUUAAAUGUAUUCUGAAGCAGCAGGAUAAAAGAAAAAGGACAAAAUCAAAUCUAUUUCUGCAGAUUUGAGCGAAUUUCAGGUUGCAACGGGUGAUUUGCAAACUGUUUGGUUAGCAGUGCUCUGCACACAUACAGAUAAUGAAAAGCAAGUACUGAUAGGAAAAGUAAAUGAGGCACUGUAGAUCUUUCUCACUCUCUGUAUGGUGUUAGCUCUGAAGUCAUUUCUAAAUGAACUCUUUCCUUCCUUAUAAAGAGAAAGGAUGUGGGAGUAGCUUUGUUCGUUAGUUUUUGCACGUGAACAAAGAGGACCUAUUUUCACGUUGUGAUUAUCUCAUGCAGUGAUGUGGAUGAAGUGCAGAACAGUCUCUGGGUGAAAGGCUGAUCUGCACGAGCUGAAAAUCUGCCCCAGGUUUUCUUACUGCUUUUCUGGAUCUCACAUUUCAUAGCGCAGACUUCUGCUUUUCUCUGGUGUCUGCUAUGAGAGGUAGCAUGAAUAGUGCAGCACAAAACUUCAGUUUCUCUUAUACUUUCUCCUUUAUUACUUCGUGACCCAGGGCACCUCGGAGGGCUACCAUGCACACACACUUGAGGACGUCUUACUUCCUCCUCCAUUUCCUUUCAUUCCCCUCUGUUGCUUUCCUUCCUUUCCACCAAGCCCACAGCUGCUUCAGACUGUGGCAGUCUGUAAGCAGGUAGAAGAGGUGGGGACCCCCAGCUGGAGGCAGCGAGGAGAGCUCUACCAUGCAGCCCCCCUUCAUUGCAACCCAGAAAAAUCCCUGCUUCCAAAAUAACCCAUUUUCCAGCCUUCCCUCCUCCAGCUUGCUUUCUGCAGUGUCUGCAAACAAGGGAGAAUUUUACUCAUUAAUGCCAGGCUAGCAAUUAUGUGAGUCAAUUUCUACUUUAUUUAAAUGUUCCUUUUAUUUGAUCUUAAGAAUUUCUCAGGACACAACUGAAACAUGCCCUUCACUGCUCAUAGGCAGCCACAGAUUUAAUAUUUUAUGUUGGAUUUUCAAAAGGGCUGAGGGUGAUGCAGAAUUAUAUCUGAUGGGAUUUCUUUGGGACUUUCUAUGGGUGUGUAGUGCUUUUAAGCCCAUACAAAAGACCUUGUUUAUCCAAUACAGACUUGCACUCGCCUCCCUUGGCAGCAUUCUCAGGCGUCUCUCCACUGCAAAGAGCUGCAUUUGAGACAGCACCGGCCUGCCAGCCACACUACACCAGCACGUUGCUGUGAUGGGCGACCGGAGAGAGACACUGCCCAUGGAAAAGCUGCAGAAAGCUCAUCAGGAGCUGCUGCGCUGGGCUGCGUAACAGGGCACCUCCUCUUGGGGUGAUCAUAGUGGACCCUGAGCUGAGUAAGUACAAACAGCAGCAGUAAGGGGGACCUUGGUGCCAGGACCUGGAGGGAGGUGCUGGAGC